rnacentral:rRNA from 1 species
GAUGAACGCUGGCGGCGUGCCUAAUACAUGCAAGUCGAGCGAACGGACGAGAAGCUUGCUUCUCUGAUGUUAGCGGCGGACGGGUGAGUAACACGUGGAUAACCUACCUAUAGGACUGGGAUAACUUCGGGAAACCGGAGCUAAUACCGGAUAAUAUUUUGAACCGCAUGGUUCAAAAGUGAAAGACGGUCUUGCUGUCACUUAUAGAUGGAUCCGCGCUGCAUUAGCUAGUUGGUAAGGUAACGGCUUACCAAGGCAACGAUGCAUAGCCGACCUGAGAGGGUGAUCGGCCACACUGGAACUGAGACACGGUCCAGACUCCUACGGGAGGCAGCAGUAGGGAAUCUUCCGCAAUGGGCGAAAGCCUGACGGAGCAACGCCGCGUGAGUGAUGAAGGUCUUCGGAUCGUAAAACUCUGUUAUUAGGGAAGAACAUAUGUGUAAGUAACUGUGCACAUCUUGACGGUACCUAAUCAGAAAGCCACGGCUAACUACGUGCCAGCAGCCGCGGUAAUACGUAGGUGGCAAGCGUUAUCCGGAAUUAUUGGGCGUAAAGCGCGCGUAGGCGGUUUUUUAAGUCUGAUGUGAAAGCCCACGGCUCAACCGUGGAGGGUCAUUGGAAACUGGAAAACUUGAGUGCAGAAGAGGAAAGUGGAAUUCCAUGUGUAGCGGUGAAAUGCGCAGAGAUAUGGAGGAACACCAGUGGCGAAGGCGACUUUCUGGUCUGUAACUGACGCUGAUGUGCGAAAGCGUGGGGAUCAAACAGGAUUAGAUACCCUGGUAGUCCACGCCGUAAACGAUGAGUGCUAAGUGUUAGGGGGUUUCCGCCCCUUAGUGCUGCAGCUAACGCAUUAAGCACUCCGCCUGGGGAGUACGACCGCAAGGUUGAAACUCAAAGGAAUUGACGGGGACCCGCACAAGCGGUGGAGCAUGUGGUUUAAUUCGAAGCAACGCGAAGAACCUUACCAAAUCUUGACAUCCUUUGACAACUCUAGAGAUAGAGCCUUCCCCUUCGGGGGACAAAGUGACAGGUGGUGCAUGGUUGUCGUCAGCUCGUGUCGUGAGAUGUUGGGUUAAGUCCCGCAACGAGCGCAACCCUUAAGCUUAGUUGUCAUCAUUAAGUUGGGCACUCUAAGUUGACUGCCGGUGACAAACCGGAGGAAGGUGGGGAUGACGUCAAAUCAUCAUGCCCCUUAUGAUUUGGGCUACACACGUGCUACAAUGGACAAUACAAAGGGCAGCGAAACCGCGAGGUCAAGCAAAUCCCAUAAAGUUGUUCUCAGUUCGGAUUGUAGUCUGCAACUCGACUACAUGAAGCUGGAAUCGCUAGUAAUCGUAGAUCAGCAUGCUACGGUGAAUACGUUCCCGGGUCU